UAGAGAAAAUAAUGUCUCAUGACAGAUAUCUCAUAUAUACAUACAGCAUGUUUCAAAAGUACCAUAGGCACUGUCAUGUUUUGUAUGCUAAUAUGCCGUCCGGUGAUGCGUCUGCGCGUAAUUAUAGAUCGAUCACGGUCUCGUAGCGUUGCGACGUUCCGUGGAGCACCGUGAUGUGAACCCCACUGUAUAUCAGAGAACAGCAUACGAUUCACACGGGUUGCAUAUAUCUCUCUCGUUACAACGAAUUCCAUUGGAGGUCGUUACAGUGCUGUAAAAAUGUCAAUCUCGCGAUAAUCAAGGUGACGGGAUUAAUCGGUCGAUUAAUCACCAGUAUUUCAUUGAUCUCUUGCAGUUGGUGUUGGAAUACAGUGCGACAGGUGGGAUAACGUUGAGCUGUCAAAUGGCGAGUCUGGCGGGGAGCUCGACAGGCUUCAUGAGGCCGCCGACUAUGUUAGAGCAACUACUGGAAGAAAUAAAUUUCCAAAGAACAAAAGAAAUGCGACAGCUUCUAAAAGACGAUUCGGGUUUCGUGAUGCUCCAGGGCACGACUUAUUGGACGGAUCUGUUCGUACGUCACUUCCUUUUCCAGGCUGAGCACACCAUUGACGGUGAUGACCUCCUUUUCUUCGUGCGCAAAAAGCACGUGAAAACGUCCUCUAGAUAUUUACCAAAAUUUGAGACGGAGGUUGACGUCUUCCGCAAAGACAGCAAAAAACUACCGAUUGGCGAUCCUGACAUCGAUUGGGAGGAGACUGUUUAUCUUAAUCUUGUAGUACAUCAAUUCGAUUAUACUCUAACACUGGCAAUAUGUACCAGGACUAGUCCCAAGGAAUUGCAAGUCCUCAGAAGACACUCACAAAAAGUCUAUGCCAGUCCAAGUCGACGGCGAAUGGAUGCGAAGGGUGAUCUCGAGGAAAUGACCUAUCCGCACAUCUGCUUCAUGGUAGACAAUUUCGAUGAAGUAUUCUGUGAUAUUUUAGUCAGGGAUGGGGAGAUGGUCUGCGUCGAAUUAGUUGCCUCUGAUAGAGACGGUGCCGUGCAGGGCGUCAUUUUUCUUGGAUCCAUCAGAUACGACGCCUUGAAGAAGGUCUAUGAUGCUAGGUCGAGUCUGAGCACAAAAAUGGCGCAGCGUAUGACAUUUGGCUUGUUCUCUGGUGCAGCAUCUCAGAGAAUUGAAUUUGUCAGGAUGAAAGGACCCCAGGGAAAAGGUCACGCUGAAAUGGCCGUUACGAAACCAAAAGGUUCAGGUGCAGAAACGCCGACCUCAGAACCAGGUUACUGCGCCACCGACGCGCUUUGGGACGCUGAUUGGGAUGACGCUGAGGAACUAUUUAUGUAUCGUCAUCAACGAAGAUUAUCCGAUCCCAGUGCCAAUUUGAAUAAUUUUGUUCGCGGUGGAUGGCGAACCAAACCCGAUAGUGCCGCCACUAAGGCACGAUCCGAAAACGAAGGACUGGACUCAAUGGCGAAUGGCCUCAGUGAAAUAGAAGCGGGCGACGUACGAGAUGCGGAAGGACAGGAUAGCAGCUGGGGCGGCCGGGGCUCACCAGCAGACUCUCACAGGAACAGCCGCAGUCCUCGGUGUCAACGUAGAAGAUCGCCGCAACUUCUGAGCCGUCAUGCCAACCGGAAGCAACGUAAUACACGGGAGUCAGAAAAUGAAAAUGAAAUUGGGCCAAGGGGCAAGGAGGCCUAUCACGAGGCUCGCGGCCCCCAGAAUCAUCAUAUCGAGGUUGGCAGUGAGAUUCUACCACCGGGCACCUGCCUGACGGAUGACAAUGUCAGACAAAAACUGGACGCCGGGGCCAUUUUGGUACACGGAAAGGAGGAGUUGCCGCUCAAUUAUGAAGCCGACGAGAAUAAUGCGAGCACAAAUCAUCAUCAGCAUCAUCAUAGCCAUCGUCGUGAUCCUCGUCAUCGUCAUCCCGCUGAGAACGACAGGGACAACGAAGACGCGCACAGGAUCGUCCUUGGAAAUUCAGAAGGACAUCAUCUAAGUGUGGAGGAUCUUCGUGGACGGAUGAGCGACGCGGGAAACGACGCUGCUCUCGGCAUCGAGCAUGAGGAGUCGCGCAAGAAUAAAAACAAAAAUGAAUCACCAGCUAGAGACAGAAACGCUAAUGCCAAGUUACCACGAGGAGCGAAUGGCUGCACCACGCAAAGGCAGAGCGCCACUUUACCAAGGAGACGACGCAGACGAGCGCUAUCUGGUAGUGUUACUGGCAAUCCUCUGCCACCCCACCGUGUCACUCCUGAUGGCACAGCGAUCUACUAUUGGUGCGAGCUCCCGCGCCGCCCCGGCUCUCAGGGUAAUUCUCUUCUCGCCAUUAUUAUUCACACUUUUAACUUUUUCAAUAUUUCACACUUUUUUUUAUAUAUGCAUAUAUACUACAAAACACACAAACACGCACACUGCUGUGUCACGUAAUUGUAAGCAGCUAAUAAUCCAAAGGGUUUCCGGAGUCCAUUCCUUCUCCACAAAUUAUUUUGCUGGUCCAGUGCUUCUCUACGUAGUCGCACCCCUGAUCCUCCAUAGCUCUGACAGUAAUGAUACCUGCUCGUAACGUUAUUAUUAUUAUUACUGUUAUCAUUCUUGUUGGUACAACAUGGCCUUAGCUUGAACUCUGCGUGUUUCACGUACGUACCUUAUAUAUCGCUUGCAACAAAGUCAGACAUAUGUAUGUUAUGCCUACAUAUGUACUUACACAUACGUUAUAGCGCUUUGAUCAGGAGCAAUCCUGAACUUUCAGAAACCAAAAGUAAUAGACGUGAUAAAAGUUUAUUGAAACAUCUCUUCGUACACGCUGAUUUUAUUUGCUAUUGGUCGUUCAGCGCCUCGUCAAGGUCUUCGAGGGUCUUAAGGGUUGUUGUUUAAGGGACCUUUCAUGAUGGGGUUAGGGGCUUCGUGCAAGAAGUUAGGAAGGUGUAGUGACCGGUCUGCUGUCUGUCUGCUGACAGAGUUGGACGACGGGGCUUACAAUCCCCUGUGGACGAUGCGAGGAUUUACGCAAACCUUUCACUUCUGGAAGGAAACCAGGCGAGCACAAUCCGUCCCACUCAACGCCUUCCUUACGUACAUCACCCUGCCCUGGUGGAGUAUAGCUAAAGAUAUACUGGAUCAUCGAGAGGGUCCGAUUUUAACAUUCUAGCUGAGGUCUUCUGGAUAUCCGAUUGAACAACCAUUUUGAAUUUCAGUCGUUCUUUUUUUUUUACUUUGUACAAGACGAAGAUCAAUUGUUGAAUGAUUACAAUGUAUAAAUCGCAUUAAUAUAUUACAUGCCAUUUAUAAUAA